rnacentral:rRNA from 1 species
AGAGUUUGAUCCUGGCUCAGGACGAACGCUGGCGGCGCGCCUAACACAUGCAAGUCGAACGAGAGAGAGGGAGCUUGCUUCCUCAAUCGAGUGGCGAACGGGUGAGUAACGCGUGAGGAACCUGCCUCAAAGAGGGGGACAACAGUUGGAAACGACUGCUAAUACCGCAUAAGCCCACGGGUCGGCAUCGACCAGAGGGAAAAGGAGCAAUCCGCUUUGAGAUGGCCUCGCGUCCGAUUAGCUAGUUGGUGAGGUAACGGCCCACCAAGGCGACGAUCGGUAGCCGGACUGAGAGGUUGAACGGCCACAUUGGGACUGAGACACGGCCCAGACUCCUACGGGAGGCAGCAGUGGGGAAUAUUGCACAAUGGGGGAAACCCUGAUGCAGCGACGCCGCGUGGAGGAAGAAGGUUUUCGGAUUGUAAACUCCUGUCGUUAGGGACGAUAAUGACGGUACCUAACAAGAAAGCACCGGCUAACUACGUGCCAGCAGCCGCGGUAAAACGUAGGGUGCAAGCGUUGUCCGGAAUUACUGGGUGUAAAGGGAGCGCAGGCGGACCGGCAAGUUGGAAGUGAAAACUAUGGGCUCAACCCAUAAAUUGCUUUCAAAACUGCUGGCCUUGAGUAGUGCAGAGGUAGGUGGAAUUCCCGGUGUAGCGGUGGAAUGCGUAGAUAUCGGGAGGAACACCAGUGGCGAAGGCGGUCUACUGGGCACCAACUGACGCUGAGGCUCGAAAGCAUGGGUAGCAAACAGGAUUAGAUACCCUGGUAGUCCAUGCCGUAAACGAUGAUUACUAGGUGUGGGGGGUCUGACCCCCUCCGUGCCGGAGUUAACACAAUAAGUAAUCCACCUGGGGAGUACGACCGCAAGGUUGAAACUCAAAGGAAUUGACGGGGGCCCGCACAAGCAGUGGAGUAUGUGGUUUAAUUCGACGCAACGCGAAGAACCUUACCAAGUCUUGACAU